rnacentral:rRNA from 1 species
CAGCAGCCGCGGUAAUAAGAAGGGUGCAAGCGUUAAUCGGAAUUACUGGGCGUAAAGCGCGCGUAGGUGGUUUGGUAAGAUGGAUGUGAAAUCCCCGGGCUCAACCUGGGAACUGCAUCCAUAACUGCCUGACUAGAGUACGGUAGAGGGUGGUGGAAUUUCCUGUGUAGCGGUGAAAUGCGUAGAUAUAGGAAGGAACACCAGUGGCGAAGGCGACCACCUGGACUGAUACUGACACUGAGGUGCGAAAGCGUGGGGAGCAAACAGGAUUAGAUACCCGAGUAGUCCCUGUCUCUUAUAC